GACAGAGGGUGCAAACGUUGUUCGGAAUUACUGGGCGUAAAGCGCGUGUAGGCGGCCCUGCAAGUCGGGUGUGAAAUCCCAUGGCUCAACCAUGGAAGUGCACUCGAAACUGCAGGGCUAGAGUCCUGGAGAGGAAGGUGGAAUGCUUGGUGUAGAGGUGAAAUUCGUAGAUAUCAAGCGGAACACCGGUGACGAAGGCGGCCUUCUGGACAGUGACUGACGCUGAGACGCGAAAGCGUGGGGAGCAAACAGG
rnacentral:rRNA from 1 species